rnacentral:lncRNA from 1 species
UAAACUUUAAGAAAUCAAAUCUACUUUGCAUGUUGGAAACUAUUCUAGUUGCUUUACAUGACGUGCCUUCAGUAUAAUUCAUUUGAACAUCUGUUUCAAAUUAUGUUAUAACACUGACAACACUGAUUAUGUAGCAAUGUCUACAUCAUUACGUAUUUGAUGUCAUCUUUAUCUAACUCAGUGUGAUGUGUUGCUUUUCAGAGGAGCCUUGGAACGUAUACGUGCGACUGGUAGUGGGGAAACUUUGGAGACAAUCCACACUGAGGCUUUCCAGAGGCUAAUGGCUGCAUGUGAUACACUCAGAGAGUGCGCCAGUGGCUUUACUAAACUCGGCUAUAGACAACAGGCAGCAGAGGCACAUGGAGAGUGUGCGCAUGGUUUGAGAAUCCUAGCGAACCAUACUACUGAAAGAGAGUCGAAACAGAGCUUCCUGCUGAAUGGGCUCUCCCAGUUGCAGCUUGCUGUCACAGUGCAGGAACAUGCAGUACAGAAUGCUGAGAGUCUGCUCCACCCACAGGAGGAGAGACAUGGACUGUCACUGCCAGCCGCGCGGAGGCUGCUUGGCCUGCGGCUGGCCCUGGUUGAAUUCUGCCUGUCCAUGCUAGAGGAGCGUUGUGCCGAGGAGACGCUGCAGGCUUUGGCCCGGGAGAAGAUGACCUUAGCUGAAAUAGCGCUGGAGGAAUAUUCACGCUGCACACCUGAGCCUAACUCCAAAGAAGAGGUUAGACUGUGAGCAAACACUUUGACAUCAAAUGUGAGAUCUUUUUGUUGGAUUCAGAUGUAUUUGACAUGAGUUGAUGUGAUACAUUUUUAGAUUCUGCCAUACACCAA